CAGCAGCCGCGGUAAUACAGAGGGUGCGAGCGUUAAUCGGAUUUACUGGGCGUAAAGCGUGCGUAGGCGGCUAAUUGAGUCGGAUGUGAAAUCCCCGAGCUUAACUUGGGAAUUGCAUUCGAUACUGGUUAGCUAGAGUGUGGGAGAGGAUGGUAGAAUUCCAGGUGUAGCGGUGAAAUGCGUAGAGAUCUGGAGGAAUACCGGUGGCGAAGGCAGCCAUCUGGCCUAACACUGACGCUGAGGUACGAAAGCAUGGGGAGCAAACAGGAUUAGAUACCCCAGUAGUCCCUGUCUCUUAUAC
rnacentral:rRNA from 1 species